ACCCCACAAGUCCCAAUAAAGCUCAUGAAGUCUGAAAUAAAUAUGACAAAAUCCCAUUAGAACACCCUAGAAUCCCAAUAAAAGCCCACAAAAUCUUUUGAAAUCCCAAUAACGCCCGAAAUCCCGAUCAAAGCCUGCAAAUCCCCCCAAAAAUGUCCCAAAAACCAUAAAACUCCCACAAAAUUUCACCCAAGACCCAAAGAAAUCAUGACAACACCCAAAUAACAACACGAAACCCCAAAAGCCUACCAAAAUUCUCAAAAAAAACCCCAAAUCCCCAAUGAAUCCCACUAAAAGCCCCCACAAUUCCAGUGAAAUGCCUCAAAAUCUCCUAGAAAUCCCAAUAAACCCCCAGAAUUACUGAGAAUCCCAAAAAAACCCCAACAAAAUCUCAGUAAAACCUUCCAAAAUAAAAAAAAAAUUCAAUCAACCCCCAAACAUCCCCAGAACAACACCCCCCCCAAAGCGCCAAUAAAACCCCCAAAAUCCAAACCCCCCAAAAUCCACAAAAGCCCCCAACAUUUCCCACCUUGUCCCAGCAUGUCUGCAGUCAUUUCCGGGUGCUGCCAGUGGCCCCAGGAAGGUGUCAGUUCUCCCAGUGUGAUCCCCCAGUCAUGCCCAGAAUAUCCCACCUGCCUCCAGCAUGCAUCCAGUCCUGCCCAGUUCCUCCAGUUUGCUUGCAGCAUGAUCCCAGUUUCUCUCAGGAUUUCCAUUGCCAACCCCCAUUGAGGCUGUGAGGAAAAUGCCCCAGAACAUGCAAGCAGAGCAGGAGCUGAGCAUGGAGAGCAGGGAGGACAAAUCCCCGCGGCAGAACCUCGUGGCAGAGGCCGUUUUGAGCGGCUCCACGGCGCAGGAACCCAACGGGGAGGAAAAGCCCCGGAGAUCCUGCACGAGGAGGGGCUGCAAACGCAGCCCAGGUUGCUCUGAGGAGUAAAGAUCCACCCUGUGCCAGGAAGGUGGACAGAGCUUCAGCCAGAGCUUGGAGCUGGUGGUCCAUGAGCAGGUUCCUGAUGGGGAGAAGCCUCACAGGUGCUUGGAGUGUGGGAAGAGCUUCUGGUGGAUCACCAACCUGAUCGUGCACCAGAGGAGCCACACUGGGGAACGGCCCUACGAGUGUGGGGAGUGUGGGAAAGGCUUCAGGUGCAGCUCUGAGCUCAUCACUCACUAACGCAUCCAUACCGGGGAGAGGCCCUAUGACUGUCCCGAGUGUCAGAAGAGGUUUCAGACCAGCUCCAGUCUCCUCCAGCAUCAAUGGAUUCACACAGAGGAGAGGCCCUUCCUCUGCCCAGACUGCAGGAAGGGCUUCAAGUGCAACUCAAACAUCGCCAGGCACCGCUGCAUCCACAGCGGGGAGAGGCCCUACGAGUGUCCCCAUUGUGGGAAGAGCUUUACCCACAGCUCUAACUUGACCAAACACCAACAGAGUCACCGGUAAGGGAAGUCCUGCAAGUGCCCUGAGUGUGGGAAGAGCCUCGUGUGCUGCUCCAGCUUCAUCCCCCAUUGGAGAACCCGCAUUGGGAAGAGACCUGCUGAUCCAUGUUCCCUGUGAUCCAUGGUGGGAAGACACUUGUCACUUUUCCUGCCCCUGCUAGUGACCUGAUGUAGGAUUGAAGAACAAGAGGGUCUGGCCAGAGCCGUGUCAUUAGAUUCACUCCCACCUCAGGUCAUUGCCAGGGGCAGGAAAGGGACUCUCUCUCUCUCCCUGAGGAGAAAGGUGUCCUUUCCAGGCAGGAGGAAAUACGUGGCCAGGAAGAGCCACUCAGUGGUGAUGUUGUACUUUUCCCUGUAAAUAGUUUUUCUUAUCCCUUCUGUUAUCAAUAUUGCUUUUGUUCCUAUUUGUUCCUUAUCUCAUUGCUGUUCCCAGUAAAUUGUUC